GGCUCAGGAUGAACGCUGGCGGUCUGCUUAACACAUGCAAGUCGAACGGAAUAUCUUCGGAUAUUUAGUGGCGGACGGGUGAGUAACGCGUGAGAAUCUGCCCUUAGGAUGGGGAUAACGACUGGAAACGGUCGCUAAAACCCGAUGUGCCGAGAGGUGAAAUAUUUAUAGCCUGAGGAUGAGCUCGCGUCAGAUUAGCUAGUUGGUGGGGUAAUGGCUCACCAAGGCGACGAUCUGUAGCUGGUCUGAGAGGAUGAUCAGCCACACUGGAACUGAGACACGGUCCAGACUCCUACGGGAGGCAGCAGUGGGGAAUUUUCCGCAAUGGGCGAAAGCCUGACGGAGCAAGACCGCGUGGGGGAUGAAGGUUUGUGGAUUGUAAACCCCUUUUGUCAGGGAAGAAUAACUGACGGUACCUGACGAAUAAGCCUCGGCUAACUCCGUGCCAGCAGCCGCGGUAAUACGGAGGAGGCAAGCGUUAUCCGGAAUUAUUGGGCGUAAAGCGUCCGUAGGUGGUUAUUCAAGUCUGUUGUUAAAGAGUGGGGCUUAACCUCAUAAAGGCAAUGGAAACUGAAGGACUUGAGUGCGGUAGGGGUAGAGGGAAUUCCCAGUGUAGCGGUGAAAUGCGUAGAUAUUGGGAAGAACACCGGUGGCGAAAGCGCUCUACUGGACCUGCACUGACACUGAGGGACGAAAGCUAGGGGAGCGAAAGGGAUUAGAUACCCCUGUAGUCCUAGCCGUAAACGAUGGAUACUAGGUGUUGCGCGUAUCGACCCGUGCAGUACCGUAGCUAACGCGUUAAGUAUCCCGCCUGGGGAGUACGCUCG
rnacentral:rRNA from 1 species